rnacentral:rRNA from 1 species
AACGAACGCUGGCGGCAGGCUUAACACAUGCAAGUCGAGCGCCCCGCAAGGGGAGCGGCAGACGGGUGAGUAACGCGUGGGAAUCUACCCAUCUCUCCGGACUAACGCAUGGAAACGUGUGCUAAUAUCGUAUACGUCCUUCGGGAGAAAGAUUUAUCGGAGAUGGAUGAGCCCGAGUUGGAUUAGCUAGUUGGUGGGGGAAAGCCCUCACAAGGCGACGAGCCAUAGCUGGUAUGAGAGGAUGAUCAGCCACACCGGGACUGCGACACGGCCCAGACUCCGACGGGCGGCAGCAGUGGGGACUAUAGGGCGAUGGGUGCAAGCCUGAUCCAGCCAUGCCGCGUGAGUGAUGAAGGCACUAGGGUUGUAAAGCUCUUUCACCGGUGAAGAUAAUGACGGUAACCGGAGAAGAAGCCCCGGCUAACUUCGUGCCAGCCGCCGCGGUAAGAC